AUUAUUAUUUUUAUUGUAUGUCAUAAAAGUACAUAAACAUAAAGAAGAUAAAAACAUACAUAAAAUGGGAGAGAAAUGGUCACGGGACAAUCUUCCAAAUACUCACGAUGGAAUUUACCGAUACUGAUUCUCUGCUUUUUUUUUUUUCAAUACAUCACAGCGAGCUACUUCACAACUCCACAGCCACUUAAGUCUGAUUUUCUUCACUGUCAUGGCUAGUUAUGUUGGGUUUAGCUUUAGUACAUGGGCAAUUAGAAUUAUUUUGGCUAGUUAUGUUGGGUUUAGAUAUAGUACAUGGAAAUUGAGGAUUAUUUUGGCUAGUAAUGUUGGGUUUAGAUUUAGUACAUGGCCAUUUAGAAUUAUUUUGGCUAGUUAAGUUGGGUUUAGAUUCAGUACAUGGCUAUUUAGAAUUAUUUUGGCUAGUUAAGUUGGGUUUAGAUUCAGUACAUGGCUAUUUAGAAUUGUUUUGGCUAGUUAUGUUAGGCUUAGAUUUAGAACAUGGCAUUUUAAGAUUCUAGUUACAUUUUCAUCUGUGCUUGGACCAAAAUAUCUACAAUGAAAGGAGACACAAGGAA